GCCUAGACCGGCGCACGGGUGCGUAACGCGUGUACAAUCUACCUUUUACUGGGGAAUAGCCCGAAGAAAUUUGGAUUAAUGCCCCAUAGUAUAGAGCAGUGGCAUCACAGCACUAUUAAAGCUUCGGUGGUAAGAGAUGAGUACGCGUUCUAUUAGUUAGUUGGUGAGGUAACGGCUCACCAAGGCUAUGAUAGAUAGGGGUUCUGAGAGGGAUGUCCCCCACACUGGUACUGAGAUACGGACCAGACUCC
rnacentral:rRNA from 1 species